AUGUGGUCUAAACACCCGGACUAUAUUAAGAUCAUCAAAAUUUGUUGGGAAUCACCUAUAUAUGGUUGUCCCAUGUUCAUUCUUGGAAAAAAGCUAAAGACUCUCAAACAUAAGCUUAAGGAUUGGAACAGGGAAGUUUUUGAAGUCUUCAAUAUGCUUCACCUCAAAUCCUUUGGUGGCAAUAUCGCUAUCAAGAUUGGUUAUUUUGGUUAUAAUAGAGGGGUUAGGCAAGGAAACCUUCUUUCCCCUCUCUUAUUUUGCCUGGAUGAAGAUGUGCUCAAUGACAUAAUGCAUUUCUAUAUGAUUCUCAAUAGGCUUGGGAAACCCUACUUUAAGUUUUGUUAA